UACGAACUGUGCGAACGUUAUUCGGAAUCACUGGGCUUACAGGGUGCGUAGGCGGCUUGUUAAGUAGGGUGUGAAAGCCCCCGGCUCAACCGGGGAAUUGCGCCCUAAACUGGCGAGCUGGAGUGAGAUAGGGGUGUGUGGAACUUCCGGUGGAGCGGUGAAAUGUGUUGAUAUCGGAAGGAACGCCGGUGGCGAAAGCGGCUUCCUGGACCGACACUGACGCUGAGGCGCGAAAGCUAGGGGAGCAAACGGG
rnacentral:rRNA from 1 species